GUUGCCUGUGCUGAGAAGAAGAAAAAGUCAGUGCUGUGAGGAGCUGCCCAUGUGAUAUCUCCAAGAAAGUGGAUCUGGGAUGAUUUGAAAAAAAUCUGGAAGAUUAAAGGGUUCAUUGGAAUGGACAGUCAUAAUCUUGUGUUUGAAUGAUUAGUCUUGAGAGUCUGGAGCCAAACCAG